GACGAACGCUGGCGGCGUGCUUAACACAUGCAAGUCGAACGGUAAGGCUCCAGCUUGCUGGGGUACACGAGUGGCGAACGGGUGAGUAACACGUGGGUGACCUGCCCUGCACUUCGGGAUAAGCCUGGGAAACUGGGUCUAAUACCGGAUAGGACCAUGGUGUGGAUACUGUGGUGGAAAGUUUUUUCGGUGUGGGAUGGGCCCGCGGCCUAUCAGCUUGUUGGUGGGGUAAUGGCCUACCAAGGCGGCGACGGGUAGCCGGCCUGAGAGGGUGGACGGCCACAUUGGGACUGAGACACGGCCCAGGCUCCUGCGGGAGGCAGCAGUGGGGAAUAUUGCACAAUGGGCGGAAGCCUGAUGCAGCGACGCCGCGUGGGGGAUGACGGCCUUCGGGUUGUAAACUCCUUUCACCAUCGACGAAGGGUUUCUGACGGUAGAUGGAGAAGAAGCACCGGCUAACUACGUG
rnacentral:rRNA from 1 species